UUUCCGUAGGUGAACCUGCGGAAGGAUCAUUAAUGUGUUUGGGCCUCACGGCUCUUCAUUCCGACGCUGUGCGCCGUCGGGCUGCCCGCUGAGGGAGCAUAUAUCCACCCCUGUGCACACACACGGUGGCGAGCUGGGUAACGGCUCGCCGCUGAUCUUUACACACGUCUAAAAGUCAUUGUAUGUUUAUUUGAGAUAAAAACACAACUUUCAGCAACGGAUCUCUUGGCUCUC
rnacentral:misc_RNA from 1 species